rnacentral:lncRNA from 1 species
CUUCUUUGCUAAAACUAUCAUAGCUUCCACAAGUUGGUCUAUUUGGUUUUUCAUCGAGUCAACAUCUCCUCUUACUGCAAUGUGACUUUGCUCCAAUGGAUCCAUAAUCUUUCAAGAGCUACUUCAAGUCUGAUAUGAGUAUCGGGAAAUCAACUGCAGGUUAUGGACGAAGGACGAAUGAGUUUUUUUUGUAUUUAUUUUUUUGGUGAAAAUGAUAUGAAAUGUAUGAUGAUGAAUGCAAAUGCAAUGAUAUGUGUAUGAGUGUAGUGACAUGUUCAGGAUCACAGGUUCAAAGUGUUUUCAGAUAGAUCAGAAUAACGGAUAAAUGACAGGUAUCUCUGAUUAAUGGAACCCCAUGGGUAGGCUCUACAG